AUGUAAAAACUCUUAUUUUAAUUUCUAACGAAAUUGAUAUUUUGAAAUGUACUUUCCACGGAUAAUUCAUUAGUUAUAAUAGAUCCACGUAAGGAAAUGCGGUUAAAUUAUGUCAAAAUUACAGAGCCGAUUGACAAUUAUAAUAUAUGAGUUCAUAUUAAUAAAAAAUGCCGAAAAACUGAUAGCCUUCUGCUAAAAUAAAGCACUACUACAAAAAGUCACUACUUACCAAACCUUUUAUAAUUGAAUCAUGAAAGUGGACUAACAGUCCUAUUCUCAUGCCCUCAUAAAAAUCACCACACUCACUACUGUGAAGUUUUUGAAUUUUGUAUGAUUACCUUACUGCCUUCCCUAAAUAAAAGCGGCAUCGGCAAAUGACUGUCAAAAAAUUCUCAUGCCUAUACAAUUUGUAUGGCGCAUACCUAAAUAACGCGACGGCGACGCUGGGUGGUUGAAAUUUUCCAUUUUGACAGAGCGUUCCGAAGUAAAGUUGGCUGCGAAAAAUUAAGUUUCUCUGUUCAAUAAAAUUUCACAACAACAAUUCAAGUAAACAUUUUGAUAUUUGACGUAGAGUUGCCGAUUUUAUUUAGGGAUGGCGCAUCGACGUUAACGCUGAGCGGGGAAAAACGUUCCGCCAACGCUUUUAUUUAGGGAAGGCGAAGAUUGAAAAGCUCAAAUGCUCACAAUUUUCUCAAAUCUCUUUGAUGUGUAAAAGCAGCCAUCACAAUACAAAAAUAUAUAUUUUGUUUUACAUCAAUAUUUGAAAACAAAUAUAUAAAUAUUUGAAAGUUGUAACUGGCAUGGGGGAACUGUUCUUUGUGUGUGUGGCUAUUGUUGAGGAGCAGGAGGAAUCGGGGAGUAGGAGAAAAAUUCUGAAGGGUUUUUCGAAACAAAAGCGAUACUUUUACCAUGCACGACACAUCAUUUAUAAAUACAUUUCCAUUUCGCAAAUCGCUAUGUAAAGCUCUGAUAGAUGAAUUAGUGCCGCAUGAUGUUCAGAAGUCGAAUAUUCCUUUUACUCUGAGAUUCCUGCCGUGCUUAUACUUUUACGGGUAUGGCUCUUACCAAAAAUGCGUUCGGAAUAGCUAUAUACUUUCUAUGAGCCAGUCCUCUUUGUCUAGAGCUCUACAUUUUGUAUCUAAAAUAGAUGUGGAUGUUAAGGGCAGUGAAAUUUAUUUCCCUUCAAGCGCGCAGGAUGUUUCGGAUACAAAGAGAGGAUUUUAUACGAAAUUUGGGAUCAAGGGCACAAUCGGCGCAAUCGAUGUUGGGAUUGUUUCACACCCGAGCACAGACGCCACCACUCCACUCUCACUUUUUAUGAAUCGGAAAGGAUUUUACAGCCUUAAUGUAGAAGCGGUUUGUGAUCAUCAACCUCUUGUCACAAUUCUGGUAUUUGGACCACAUCCCCAACACGUAUGCACCUCAUAAGUACAUAUAACAUACAAAGUGAUUACUGGUUGUUAGGUGACCAUGGAUAUCCAUUGGAGCCAUGGCUGUUAACGCCAGUCGCUGAACCUGCAAAUGCAAGGGAAGUGCGUUACAAUAAGUUAUAUUAUGUUCCCACAGACGCUAAUCACCGAGGUUUAGGCUGUUGAGACGUUUAACUCACUAAACCGCUGGAUUUAACAACAUUUCGCCAUACAAAAAUGAUACUUCAUAAUCACUUUACCGAAGCGAUUUGAAGCUGAACUACUCUAAAUCACCCUAUGCGACUCUGAUUUUGCGCCAUCUGUUGGUCACAUUUGUUUAAUCGCAGCUGAUUUUGACACUACAAGCUGUCAAAGUAAAAAAAUAAACACACAAUUUGAAAAGAAGAGAAAAUAACAGACAACGAAACGUGUGGUUUGGAGGGAGGCUGUCGAGGCCGAUUUAAUUCAGCUGUGGCAAGAAAAAAUGCCACAGCUUCGUUCUGCUAGAAAGAACAGCCACAUAUAUGAAAAGAUGUCCAGUGCCUUGGUAUAUAUUGGCCAUAUAUAUACCGCACAGGAAAUAAAAAUAAAAUUUCAUAAUUUUACAAACAAAUACAGGCAAGAGAAACAAAAAAUUGGACCAUCGGGUGGCUCCCCGAGUACAUGGAAAUUGUACGAAGCGUACACCAAGCGGUAGGCGGCUACAAGAGCUUUUGUUCCGCCGAGCUUGUGGAGGACAGCAUCGAGGGUGAUAUGGAGGCGAUUUACCUGGAGGAAGAAAUAGAAGGGGAGUCGCCGCUCCCGAGCCCUGAUGUUGGACGGGUAGCUCGACUCGGCCAUCGUCAAAUGAGGCUGGUAAGAAGAAAAAAACGACUGUGAUGGUAAUGGAGGAGAUGCGGGACGAUUUUUUAUAGGCGACUGAGGCGAUGAAGGAAGCCGAUGAAAAGCGUUUGGACAUGUUACAAAUGUAUGUGAACGAUGUCAGAGAAAUGAAGGACGCUUUCAUCGACUUCCUUCGUCGCCAAAACUAGAUUUAAGUAGAAAUUAAGUUUUAGUUUUAAGAUAUGUAAAUAAAAAAUGUAAAUGAAUUUAAAAAAUUAAGAUAAAUUUAAGUUUUAGUUUUAAGAUACAUAUGUAAAUAAAUGAAAAUGAAUUGUCAAUGAAUAUAAUAAAAAGAAUGUAUGAAUUGGAAAA